rnacentral:rRNA from 1 species
UACAUGGGGUGCAAACGUUGCUCGGAAUCAUUGGGCGUAAAGCGCGCGUAGGCGGCCCGGUAAGUCCGUUGUGAAAGUCAAAGGCUCAACCUUUGAACGCCGAUGGAUACUGCCGGGCUAGAGUCCGGAAGAGGCGAGUGGAAUUCCUGGUGUAGCGGUGGAAUGCGCAGAUAUCAGGAGGAACACCAAUAGCGAAGGCAGCUCGCUGGGACGGUACUGACGCUGAGGCGCGAAAGCGUGGGGAGCGAACAGG